UACGUAGGCAGCAAGCGUUGUUCGGAGUUACUGGGCGUAAAGGGUGUGUAGGCGGUCCCCUAAGUUUGGUGUGAAAUCUCCCGGCUCAACUGGGAGGGUGCGCCGAAAACUGGGGGGCUUGAGUAUGGGAGAGGAAAGCGGAAUUCCUGGUGUAGCGGUGAAAUGCGUAGAUAUCAGGAGGAACACCUGCGGUGUAGACAGCUUUCUGGACCAUCACUGACGCUGAGACACGAAAGCGUGGGUAGCAAACAGG
rnacentral:rRNA from 1 species